GACGAACGCUGGCGGCGUGCCUAACACAUGCAAGUCGAGCGAGUGGAGUUCUUCGGAACAAAGCUAGCGGCGGACGGGUGAGUAACACGUGGGCAACCUGCCUCAUAGAGGGGAAUAGCCUUCCGAAAGGGAGAUUAAUACCGCAUAAGAUUGUAGCUUCGCAUGAAGUAGCAAUUAAAGGAGUAAUCCGCUAUGAGAUGGGCCCGCGGCGCAUUAGCUAGUUGGUGAGGUAACGGCUCACCAAGGCGACGAUGCGUAGCCGACCUGAGAGGGUGAUCGGCCACAUUGGGACUGAGACACGGCCCAGACUCCUACGGGAGGCAGCAGUGGGGAAUAUUGCACAAUGGGGGAAACCCUGAUGCAGCAACGCCGCGUGAGUGAUGACGGCCUUCGGGUUGUAAAGCUCUGUCUUCAGGGACGAUAAUGACAGUACCUGAGGAGGAAGCCACGGCUAACUACGUGCCAGCCGCCGCCGUAA
rnacentral:rRNA from 1 species